UACGUAGGGUGCGAGCGUUGUCCGGAAUUAUUGGGCGUAAAGAGCUCGUAGGCGGUCUGUCGCGUCGAUCGUGAAAACUUGGGGCUUAACCCUGAGCUUGCGGUCGAUACGGGCAUGACUGGAGUUCGGCAGGGGAGACUGGAAUUCCUGGUGUAGCGGUGAAAUGCGCAGAUAUCAGGAGGAACACCGGUGGCGAAGGCGGGUCUCUGGGCCGUAACUGACGCUGAGGAGUGAAAGCAUGGGGAGCGAACAGG
rnacentral:rRNA from 1 species